rnacentral:ncRNA from 1 species
AAGAAUAGAAGUAGAAAAACAUCGGGAACUACGCACCCUUUGGGUAUCUGAAAAGCGGGGAAUUCCCGUCCCGCCUAUUCCA